CUCGCGAUAGCUCAGUUGGUAGAGCGGAGGACUGUAGUGGACAAUACGGGAUAUCCUUAGGUCGCUGGUUCAAAUCCGGCUCGCGAGA
rfam:Lingula anatina scaffold279, whole genome shotgun sequence.